rnacentral:rRNA from 1 species
AGUGGCGGACGGGUGAGUAACGCGUGGGUAACCUGCCUCAUACAGGGGGAUAACAGUUAGAAAUGACUGCUAAUACCGCAUAAGACCACAGCACCGCAUGGUGCAGGGGUAAAAACUCCGGUGGUAUGAGAUGGACCCGCGUCUGAUUAGGUAGUUGGUGGGGUAACGGCCUACCAAGCCGACGAUCAGUAGCCGACCUGAGAGGGUGACCGGCCACAUUGGGACUGAGACACGGCCCAAACUCCUACGGGAGGCAGCAGUGGAGAAUAUUGCACAAUGGGGGAAACCCUGAUGCAGCGACGCCGCGUGAGCGAUGAAGUAUUUCGGUAUGUAAAGCUCUAUCAGCAGGGAAGAAAAUGACGGUACCUGACUAAGAAGCACCGGCUAAAUACGUGCCAGCAGCCGCGGUAAUACGUAUGGUGCAAGCGUUAUCCGGAUUUACUGGGUGUA